rnacentral:rRNA from 1 species
AUUGAACGCUGGCGGAAUGCUUUACACAUGCAAGUCGAACGGCAGCACGGGGGCAACCCUGGUGGCGAGUGGCGAACGGGUGAGUAAUACAUCGGAACGUGCCCAGUCGUGGGGGAUAACGUAGCGAAAGUUACGCUAAUACCGCAUACGAUCUACGAAUGAAAGCGGGGGACCGUACGGCCUCGCGCGAUUGGAACGGCCGAUGUCAGAUUAGGUAGUUGGUGAGGUAAAGGCUCACCAAGCCGACGAUCUGUAGCUGGGCUGAGAGGACGACCAGCCACACUGGGACUGAGACACGGCCCAGACUCCUACGGGAGGCAGCGGUGGGGAAUUUUGGACAAUGGGCGCAAGCCUGAUCCAGCCAUUCCGCGUGCAGGACGAAGGCCUUCGGGUUGUAAACUGCUUUUGUACGGAACGAAAAGGCUCUGGUUAAUACCUGGGGCUCAUGACGGUACCGUAAGAAUAAGCACCGGCUAACUCUGUGCCAGCAGCCGCCGUAA